rnacentral:lncRNA from 1 species
AGGUAGCCUAGUGGUUAGAGUGUAGAGGAGGCAGGUAGCCUAGUGGUUAGAGUGUAGAGGAGGCAGGUAGCCUAGUGGUUAGAGUGUAGAGGAGGCAGGUAGCCUAGUGGUUAGAGUGUAGAGGAGGCAGGUAGCCUAGUGGUUAGAGUGUAGGGGCGGCAGGUAGCCUAGCGGUUAGAGUGUAGGGGCGGCAGGUAGCCUAGUGGUUAGAGGUAGUAGAGGUACUAGAGGUACAGGAGGAAGUAGAGGUACUACAGGAGGAUGUAGAGGUACUACAGGAGGUACUACAGGGGGUAGUAGAGGUACUACAGGAGGUACUACAGGGGGUAGUAGAGGUACUACAGGAGGAAGUAGAGGUACUACAGGGGGUAGUAGAGGUACUACAGGAGGUACUAGAGGAGGAAGUAGAGGUACUAGAGGAGGAAGUAGAGGUACUACAGGGGGUAGUAGAGGUACUACAGGAGGUACUAGAGGAGGAAGUAGAGGUACUAGAGGAGGAAGUAGAGGUACUAGAGGAGGAAGUAGAGGUACUAGAGGAGGAAGUAGAGGUACUAGAGGAGGUACUAGAGGAGGAAGUAGAGGUACUACAGGAGGUACUAGAGGAGGAGGUAGAGGUACUACAGGAGGUAGUAGAGGUACUAGAGGAGGUAGUAGAGGUACUACAGGAGGUAGUAGAGGUACUAGAGGAGGUACUACAGGAGGUACUAGAGGAGGAAGUAGAGGUACUAGAGGAGGAGGUAGAGGUACUAGAGGAGGUAGUAGAGGUACUAGAGGAGGUAGUAGAGGUACUAGAGGAGGAAGUAGAGGUACUAGAGGAGGAAGUAGAGGUACUAGAGAGACUAGAGAAGAAAUAAGAGCUGAGACCAUUUUCUUCUAGUUGACCUAUGAUCACCUGGGUUACACCAAGAAAACCAUGACAAACCAUUUACCAUGGUCAAGAUAAGGUCUGGGUUGGGUUUAAGAUUUUGGUAAGGGACAAUUAGAUAUAUUAUAACAAAA